rnacentral:tRNA from 1 species
GGGUCUGUAGCUCAGGUGGUUAGAGCGCACCCCUGAUAAGGGUGAGGUCGGAAGUUCAAGUCUUCCCAGACCCACCA